GACGAACGCUGGCGGCGUGCUUAGCACAUGCAAGUCGAACGGAAAGGCCUCUUUCGGGGGGUACUCGAGUGGCGAACGGGUGAGUAACACGUGAGUAACCUGCCCUUGACUUUGGGAUAACUUCAGGAAACUGGGGCUAAUACCGGAUAGGAGCUCCUGCUGCAUGGUGGGGGUUGGAAAGUUUCGGCGGUUGGGGAUGGACUCGCGGCUUAUCAGCUUGUUGGUGGGGUAGUGGCUUACCAAGGCUUUGACGGGUAGCCGGCCUGAGAGGGUGACCGGCCACAUUGGGACUGAGAUACGGCCCAGACUCCUACGGGAGGCAGCAGUGGGGAAUAUUGCACAAUGGGUGGAAGCCUGAUGCAGCAACGCCGUGUGCGGGAUGACGGCCUUCGGGUUGUAAACCGCUUUCGCUCAUGACGAAGCUUUGUGUGACGGUAGUGGGUAAAGAAGCACCGGCUAACUACGUG
rnacentral:rRNA from 1 species